CCUUUUACCCAUUGUACAUAAGGGUGUUUUGUUGACUUGGUUACCCACAACUUGGUUUCUUGGAUUAAUGUAACAUUAAGAAAGUUGUUUGGCAAAUCUAGGGUUUUGUUGUACUAUUCUUUUGAGUUUGGGUCUAGGUUUUCCAUAGGCUCUUAAUCCAAGUUGAGGUCUGGGUUUCUUCUCACUCCAAGUUUGUUAUGGGUUGCUUCAUUCUCUUCCCAAGUUGGGUUCUGGUUUUUGGAGAGAGGGAGGAAAAGAGAAGAGUGCCGACAUCCACGAAGGAAGGGAGAAAGGUCGCCGCCGUCGAGCUAUGAAGCGAGGUCCAAUAGCACAAGAGGGGCUGUGUGCUGCGAAGGAGCCGCGGCUUCUCUCACAUUAGUGUUGCAGAAUUGAUCUGUGAGGGGCUGGAUUUUUGUAUUAUUGGCUGCAAGGGCUUGAAUCGAACUCCAAAGUCGCGAAGGGGAAGGGGGGCGAGCUGGUAGAGAGAGAAAGGAGGGAAGAAGGGUGCCGGCGAGUCGCAGAGGUUGCCGUCGGUGAGCCGCAAGGGUGCUGCGACAGUCACUUGUCCUGUUGAGUCAAGUGUGGGUUGUAGAGUUUUGAUUCUGUGUUAGGAUUGUGUUAACGAGUGGGUUUUUUGAAUCAGAGGAGAGAAGUUGGUCAAACACCAAAGACACAAAAGGAAAAAAAAUACGAGCUGUUAGAGAGAGAGAAGGAAAGAAGGGGGCCAGCGAGUCAGGGAGGUCACUUGCGGCGAGCUGCAAGGGUGCUACGAAGCCGCAAGGGUGCUGCAAGGACGCAAGGGUGCUGCAAUUCAGUGAAGUGAGGGUAUCGAGGGGUUAGUGCUGCGGGUGAAGUUUAAGAGAAGCAGUGAACCAGGAAGGUGAAAAAAGAAGAGCCGAGAUCGGGACUGGCAGAUACUCUCGGAGCUCUCUCAGUUGGGGCUACCGUAAUUUUGUGAAGGUAGAAAUUGAUUACUCAGGAUGAAGGGGAAAGCUGUUGUGUGUCCGUCGAAGAAAGCCGUCAAAAAGUUACCAAGCAAGGUAAGUGGGAAAGAGGCUUCUGAAGUGCCUUCUGUCGAGCACUGGUUACAUGCUCCUUAUUUUGGAGUUAGGGACAAAUUCUGGCAACAGUUGGAGGAUAAGAGAACUGUUAAUCCAUCUUAGGUUUUAUUGGGAGUACCCGAGGCAGAAAAGGGAGUGGAGAGGAUGAUAGCUCCCAAGUCUAUUAUGCGGUUGCACAUAGAGCACAGCCUUUACUUGUAUGCAUUUCCAGCUCAUAAUAGUUAUGCUUUUACUAAGAAUGGUGGGGGUUUUGAUACUUGGGCUAAUGAGGUGCUAACUGAUCCUUCUUUCAAGGAGCUUUUAAUUAACGCAAGUGUGUAUGGUGCCGUAGUGGCAAGUACUGGGCUGAAUGUGAGGAGGGAGCCAUCAUGGUUGAUUGUGGCAUUUUUCGGUUGGAGUUCUAGUUCUCACACCUUUGUUACUCGGUAGAGGGAAUUGACGCCUACAUUGGAGGAUGUUUGCCCUUUGACUGGUUUGCCUCUACUUGGUAUAGCAGAUUCACUUGCUAAUACAUAUGUUCCGAGUCAUCUAAAGAUUGUAUUGAUUCUGAAAGCCUCGGUUUCGGAGGCAGGAUUCCUAUUGAGCGGCUAUGAUAAAAGAGGAGAGUAUCUUGGGCCACAGCGUUAGGAGCAUUGUAAGAAUACCUUUGGGGGAUGGCUACGGUAUUGGUAUCGAGAUUUGAAUCCAUCUUUGACGGGAGGAACCGAGAUAGGGGAAGAUGAGGUAAAUGGGCCUGGAUAUGAAAAGUAUAAGCAUAGUUCUACUUACCUUGCUGCUUUCCUUUCAUAUUGGUUGAGUCGGUAUAUCUUGGAGGGAUCAGCCAAGGAUAGAGUAGACUCGUCUGUGUUUGAUAUUGUUUUUUAUCUUGCAACUGGUCUUUUGCUUGCAUUUGGUCCACUGUUUUUGGGGACUCUAUACAGACGACUUGAUAUGUAUCAAGUUGGAGUAGAGAAGUCGAAGGGUCGGUAUGAUGUUAUUAAUUAUGUAUCGACUUCCUUCCUUCAGAUGUUCUUAUAUGAGCGGUUUCUUAGGCUUGCUCCUAGACCGACUGAUUUUGAGCACGGGACGGGUGAGAGCGCCGAGCUGCCAAGUGGUACAAGACACGCAUUUGGGGGCCGUUGAUGGAUAUAUUUGAUGAUGAAAGUAAGUUUAUAGAUCGUCUGUAUGUUCCACCUGUUGUCGGGGUGGUUCCUUCUCGAAUGUAUGACUCAGGAGAUUCCAAGGUGGUUUUUGAUGGUCGAUUGAGUAAUGCCGAGACGAUAACGGCUUGUAGCUUCUAAUCACGUUCCUUGCCUUAUUUGUAGGAGAAGCUUAUGGCUCAAUAUCCUAUAAUCCGGCAAGAGUGGCUCGCCAAUUCAAAUUUGAUCAGAGGGUCCCUAGUCCUGGCGUAAUCCUUCAUGUAGCCAAUGCUUUUGAGCAGUUCUUCUAUCGUACUCAUCUUUCGAGGCUCCAGAAGUGUGGCGAGUAUAUUCGAAUGGGAGCUGAUUGUGUGGGUGGGGUGAUAGUUGGUUGGCGAUAUUAUUAGAGGGAGACUUUUGCUGCAUUUUGAGAGUUUCUAGGGGUGAUAUUGGGGACUUAGAGUUUGUAUGCAUCUUGUCGGAUAACGAACUAUGUCAACCACGCGUGAAGGGCAGAACCGAGUUGGCUAGGGGUGAGUUGUCUCGAUUUGCGCACUUAGAGUUACACUCUGAUAUGUUGAGUCAGGCGAAGGUAGUUGUUGUAGACGGUUUUCGAGGGGAAAUGGGUACAACUAAGUAGCGCCUGAGCCUGUCUAGGGAGGAGCCUUCCUAGAGAAUGAAGGUACAAAGGUCAGCUAUCCUUCCUCAUGUUUUUGUGGCGCCUAGGGUGAUGGGUGUGCCUUUUGAAAGGGAAAACUCUGCUGAUGAUUUGCUUUCGCGUCAUCGGUUGUAGGGACAAAGUAAGGCUAAUGGUUUCAGUGAUUCCGAAAGUGAGGGUGACGAUGGGGAUAGCUUAGAGGCUAAUCUGAAUGCAAGGAAUGGUGAUGUUGCUAGGGUUACAUUCGAGUAGGUAGACAUUCUUAUUGAUAGUAUGAGAUCUCAGGUUAUUGUGCCAUGUGUUGAGAAUAGAAUGACUUUUGCGCCUCAUUUGCUGCAAUUAGGUCACCCGGUGGCACAUUCAGUUGGGCUUGGGGAGGUCGAUGUUGAUGACCCGACUGGUUGGUUGCCUUUGUCUGAUGUUUAGCCCUUGCUUGCCUUUUGGAGUCCUCACCAUCUCUUUGUUUAGUGGGAGUAGUACCUUGUCAUCAGUUGAUGUUCGUCUUAGUUUACCUUCAGUUAGUGCUCAGGUUAGCCCGCCUUUAGUAGAUAUUCAGCCUGGUACUUUGCCUGCUUUGUCUGGAGUUGCUACCGUUUUGCAAUUUGAUGGCAGUUGUGUUCAAGAUGAGACUAUUGUUUCUAGCAUUGGCCGUGGCGGUCAAGUGAGUUUACCUUCCGAGGAUGGUGAGUUUACUGUGACUCAUCUCGAUGAUAGUUGUAUAUCCUUGGCAGGGCCUGAUAAUAGGGAGUGGGUUCUUGAUCCCAAUGUGCUAUUUGCUGGCGUGUGAGGCGAGUAUUUGCCUAGGUUGAACUUUAUUUGUGAUCAUAGGCCGAGCACUUUUAUGCGUUUGGAAGCUGUGUUCUUAAGACGUUAUUUGUUGAAGGCAUUCUGCGAUAUGCUUAGGGGGUUUCAUGGCCUUACUCCGGAGACUUCUAUUGACACAUUUUAGUCAUUUCAGGCUAUUGUGGCUGAGUUUCAGUGGCAUGAGUUUGAGGUGAGCUGGCUGAGAGAGAGUUUGUCUCACAUGGAGGCUCAAGUAAAGAAUCAUCAUCUCGAGACCGAGCUAGCAGAAAUGGACAGGGCUUUGAUGGAGUCGGCGUCUUCUAGGGAGAAGGCCGUGGUGGAGUUAGAGCGGGCAACUAAGGUGCUAGCAGAUGUGGACUUGGCGAUUUCGAGUUUGAGGGAGAGGAGAGCCGUUGUAGAGGCUCAACUUGUCAGUGUGGAAGGGGACGUUUUCAACUUAGAUAGCCAAAUAGGUCCAAGUUAGGCGAGCUGAAAAGUUUUUUGUACUAGAGAGUUUGUUCAUGUGAUGGAGAGUUGAGCUAACAUGUUUGUGAUGAAAAACCCUAAGUACUAUUUAUUAUUUUUCAUUUUUUUUUCUAAUUUCUUUUGAUGAUUGUAAGUAGUUACAUAAAGUGCAAUGAGAAUAGAGAUAGCAAAUGAUUGUUUAUUUAUCACAAGCAUGAGUUGAUGAUGUACAUUGCCAUUUUGAUUACGCUAGUAAAAAGAAAUUUCUUAGGGGUGAUUCCUCACUUUCAUCCUAAGGAAAAUAGGCCUUUAGCCAUUUGGCUUUGAUAGGGCUCAAGAGAGCUUGUGAGUUUGGUUCAAAAAUUUUAUAAUAACCAUUCUGAUUGGCCUCUCUUACUAUAUAAGGUCCUUGCCAUUUGGGAGUGAACUUGUGGGUAGAGAUUCCCCUUAUGACGUGAGGUACAACAUGAAGUACCAAGUCACCUUCUUGGAAUUGUCUGGGGCGUACCAAAGUGUUAUAGGCUCGAGCUAUGCGACUUUGGUAAACUUUGAGGUUAGCCUGGGCCGUAUCCCUUCUUUCAUCAAGGAUCUCUAACUCUGAGGGUCUAGAGUCUAGAGUAACUCCACUUCAGAAGGCCAUGUGAGCUGAGGGUAUGGCAAUUUCCACUAGAAGAACUAUUUCCGAGCCAUAUACCAAUGAGAAUGGGGUCAUCUGAGUUGGCCGUCUUUUGGAUGUUCUGUAAGCCCAGAGCGCCAUUGGGAGCAUGUGCGCCCAAUCCCUUUGAUAAUCCUUGAGAGUCCUUGAAAUGAUUCUAAGGAGUGUUUUGUUGGUUGCUUCAGCUUGCCCAUUCCCUUGGGAAUAAUAAGGCGUUGAUUUAUGGUGUGUGAUGUCGUAGGAGACCGGGAGUUGACCAACUUGGCUGUUGACAAAAAGGGUCCCAUUAUCUGAAAAGAUUACUCUAGGUAUACCGAAACGACAUAUGAUGAAUUCUUGGAUGAAAUUGGAGACCGCGGCUCUUGUUGCCUUUUUUAGAGGGAUGGCUUCUACCCAAUUAGUAUAGGUCUCUAUAGCCGUCACAAUCCAUAUGUGUCGCCUUGAUAGUGGAGAGACGGGGCUAAUAAGAUCCAUAGCCCACGUGUGGAAAGGCCAUGGUGGGCUCAAACUAUGUAGAUCAGUGGCUGCAUGAAUUAGAUUUCCAUGGAGUUGGCAAGGUUUGCAGCGUUUGGUGUACAUUUUGGUGUCCGCCUCCAUGGUAAACCAAUAAUAGCCUAUAUAUAAGAGAUGUUGGAACAGUUUCGCUCCACCUUGGUGCUCCAAUCCAUGAGCAAGUUCCAAAACCUUAUGAAUUUCUGCUCCGGAUAGGCACCGUAAUGGCUUCCCAUCAAAGCCAUGCCUGAAAAGUUGCCCUUCUUGCAAAAAGAAUUUCGAAGCUCGCUUCCUGAUUAUUGCGGCUGCGGAGCGGUGCAGUGGCAUUGACUUUUUCUUUGAGGUAAUCUAUAUAUACCGGAUGCCAGUCGGAGUUGAUUUCUAUGAAGUUGUAUUCAGCCUUUGGAGGGAACUCCACUUGGUGCACUUCCCUUGAAGGCCAUUUGCUUCAUUGGCCAUGGUAGGCCAAUAAUAUCUUUGUCGUUGUAGCCUCCUGCAAAGGCUUGCAUCUCAUGUCCCACAAGAGCGAUUGUGAACCCCUUCUAACUUGGAAUUGGCUUUGAUAAGGUUGAUGCAUCGUGCCAAUAACCCCUGAGUCCCCUCUAAUAGAGGACUCCUUGGUAAAUUGUGAAGUGUUUGGUCUUACUCAAAGGUAGUUUACUUGAAGGGGCACAGAGCUCAUCGAUGAUUGGGGCUCUCCAAUCAGCGGGUUCUUUUCAGGGAAGAUAGUUAUUACUGAGCAUGGCGCGGAGCGUUUCAGAACUUCUAUCUUGGUUGAUUCUUCUGAGAAUUCUACCUUAGAAGCCAAGGUGAGAGGGCGUCCGGGUGUCGGUUGUUGGAGCGAGGAGCAUGUUCUAUCCUUACCAUGUCGAAUUUGUUUGUCAAUCUUUGGACGAUGUUUUUGUAUGAAGCCAGAGGAGGCUCUUUGAUAGCAUAGUCUCCAUUGGUCUGCUCGACCACCAGAUUAGAGUCGCCUUUGAAACAUAAGAGACUUACUCUGCCUCAUUAUUAAAGCAUCUAAAAUCCAAUUUAUAUAACAAAUUGACUUCGGUUUGGUUUGGGAAAGAAAGUCUAUUCUAGCUCCUCCUCCUUUGGAAGUGGAUGAUCCAUCAAAGCUCAAACUCCAUUCUCCUUCAGCGUUUACUUCAGCGGCUUGGAACUCAUCUCCUGGCAGUUCAUUUAAGGGCGGCUCAUAUUCUUCGUUGGGGAAGUGAGCCAAGAGGUCGGCUAGCGCUUGGCUCUUAAUAGCCUUGGGGGCUUUACAUGUGAUACUAUAUUCUACUAACGAGAGGAGCCAAUGAGCUGGCCUACUGGAGAGAGCUAGUCUAAUGAGAAGGAAUCAAAUGGAAUCACUCCUGGUCAUGAGAUGGAUGGGGUAAGAGAGGAGGUAAUGUCAAAGCUUUUUGGCGGUGAAGACUAGGGCGAGGCAAUGUCGCUCAAUGGGGAAAUAUCGGACUUUAGCCCCUUGGAUAACUCUGCUUAUGUAGUAUACAAGUCGUUCUAGUCCGUCGAUUUCCUGGGCGAGUAGAGCUCCAACUGACUUCAGUGUAGAAAUAAUAUAGAGUAAAGGCCUCGCCAGUUGAGGAGGAGUCAUAGAGAGGAGAAGUUAAAGCUGACUUCACCCCUUCGAAUGCUUGUUGGUGCACCUCAUUCCAUAUGAACCUGACAUCCUUUUUCAGCAAUGAGUUGAAGGGUUGUGUUAUCUCAGCUAUAGCAAAGAUAAACCGUCUUAGAUAAGAUGCCCGGCCAAGGAAGGUUCUCAACUUGUCUAUAUUCGUUGGUCGUGGCAUAUUUCUGAUGGCGGAGACCUUUGCUGGAUCGGGUUCUAUCCCGUAGUGGUGAACAAUGCAGCCAAGGAACUUGCCGGUAAUGACUCCGAACGCGCACUUAAGCGGGUUCAUUAAAAAACUGUAAUUCUUGCAACGUUCAAUGACUUUUUGGAGGUUUUUCAGGUGAAUAGUUUCUUCUUUGGAUUUUACCACCAAAUCAUCAAAGUAACACUCCAAGGUUUUAUGCAAUAUAUCGUGGAAAACAGCUGCCAUAGCUCUUUGUUAUGUUGCUCCUGUGUUUUUUAAUCCAAAAGGCAUUACGGUAUAGAAAAAGUUACCUAUGGGAAUGCGAAAUGCCGUCUUGGGGGCAUUCUCUAGAGUCAUCUUAAUCUAGUUGUAGCCACUGAAACCAUCCAUGAAUGAAAAAAUAUGGUGUCCAGCUGCUAAAUCAAUCAAGGUGUCUAUGUUUGUGAGUGGGAACUCAUCUUUGGGGCAAGAUUUGUUCAGGUCUCUAAAGUCGAUGCACACUCGAAUCUGUCAUUCUUUUUUAUGACUGGGACGAUGCUAGAAAGCCAUGUGGGGUGGUGGAUAGGUUUGAUGAAUCCCUGCUCCAAGCUGCCUCGUCCUUGAUGUUGAGCUCUACCUCAGGCUUAUAAAAAUCUGACACCUUGCUUGACUGGGCGAGCUAGGGGGAUGACGUUCAAGUGGUACAUGGUAACUUCUUUGUCUAGGCCUAGCAUUUCUUCAUAUGUCCACGCAAAAAUGUCUGAAUACUUCUUAAUUAGCUCAACGAGGGGCCCUUUAUGUUCUUCUGGCAAAUCUUUGCAAAUGAAGACAGGACGCUUGGGUUUUCCUUCAGGGGCUAUGUUGAUUUCUUCUAGUUCUUGUUUUUAGGGCCGAGGGCCGUCUUGUAAGCAUUCUGGAGCAGACCUAACCUCUGUAAUUCAUCUUUCUUUGGGAUUACAACCGAGCUGGCGGGAGCUUGGUUAGGGGAUGAAAUGGAUGCCUUAGUAAGGAAUUCAACUUUUGAGCCCCCAGCUCUAUCCAAGUGACUUGUUGAAGGACCAUUGAAUUUGCCAAAAUGCUUUUCUAUUACUGAAAGAGCCAUGGCUUUCUUUUCCUUUAUGUUUCUCUUGUCUUUGUUUUUUUUUUAUUCUUUGCCCUUGGAGGACAUUAGGCCAGUGUAGACAGAGCGUAGCAAAUGUGAUCUUUUUCAUUUGGUUUGUGACAAGCGAUUGCUACUUCGUCUGGCUGGGGGUUGGCAUUGGUGGCACUUGCCAACCCCAGGGACCGUCAUAAACAGUAUACCACUCUGCCAUCCUUUGUUUGGAACCUCAUUACUUUAGGGAGCUUUCUUGAGGGUUUUGACUUGGCGAACGUCUUUCUACAAGGUGGUGAUGCAUCUUCUUCAGAGAGGUCAUCCCAAUUUGGUAUGGGAGUCCUUCGGAGCGGCAAGGGGGGCCCAUCCCCAUCAACGUGAUUGUAAAAACUGCGUCCGCCAUAUAAGCUUCAUCUACCCGAAAGGGUUUUUGAGAGCCAAUUAUGGCUACUACCUCAUUGUUGUAAAUUGCUUUGACACAUUGUGGUAGGUGGAGGGGAUCGCGGCGUAUCUGUGAAGCCAAGUUCUCCUUAAGAGAGCCUGAUAGGUCGUCUUAGCUUCUAUGACAUGGAACUUAGUGGUGGAACGGAUUGUUCCUACUGCUAAGUCUAAUUAGACAUGCCCUAUGGUUUUGAUUUUUUGAUUUCCAAAACCGGUGAUGGAAAUUAGUUGUUUGACUAGGUGUUUUUAUGAGAUCCAGACUACCUGGAAACUAGAAUAGGGCAUUACAUUGAGUGAAGCCCCUCUAUCCAUGAAUCCUCUUUGAAACUCCAUUCCAUUGAUGAACACUAGGACGUAGAGGGGACAAUUAUAUGGGAACGAUACUUGCUUGUCUGCUUCGGUAAAGGUUAUUGGCAAGGAGUUAUCUCAGAACACUUUCCUAACCGAUCUGCUUACACUCAUGCAUGCCUCACCAUUUUGCUUUGCAAGUCUUAAAAAGGCCUUGGUAUCUUCGAAACGUGUUACUUCAGAAAAGCCAAAUUGGUCGAAGAACCAUUUGAACUUUGUCGAUUUCUUAAGUGCUAUCGUAUGCCGAGUCUCGAAGUUUGGACAAGUAGGACCUGUGAGCUUAGAAAGCUCACACACCAUUGGUUCUUCCGUCUCGUCAUAAUACGAAAGCAUCAUGACCGUCUUGCCAUUAUCUUUGUGAUGGGGGAGAGGAUCUUUUAAGACGUCCUCUAUCUAGCAAUGAGGUAGCUCCAAAGCGUUGCUAGCCAUCAUCUUUCGAACUAGGGACCUAAGCGCCCAACAUUCAGUGGUAGGACGUUUGACGGAGCGAUGGUAUAUGCAGUAGUCUGCCCGUGCUUGAUCUUUUUUGGCGACAAGUCGCCUUAGUUCAGGGAGAUGAACUUUUUCAUCUUCUACCCAGGCAUUGAGGAGUGCUUGUGCCUCGUCCACCAAGAUAGGCAGCAAUGGGGGAACUUGAUCAAAUUUUCUCUUUUUUGCUUGGAGAUUUGUUCUUCCUCCAUUGGAACCUUCCGUUGCAUAUACUUCGUGGCUGCGUCUGUUAGGCCUCCAUAAGGAAGGUAGAGGUGCUGUUGCCCACCAUGAAUGAGGCUGUGAAGCUUCCCUUCAUGCCCCCGAUCUUACUGUUUCAUUUAUGUUUCGAGCUGCAGCGCAUAAGGCAGAAAAGUCAAGGAAGUAGUGAUUGAUCAACUGGAGCUUGUAAGUUAUAAGCAUCCCUUUGAUGUACAUUGACACCAGUUGAUGUUCUUCAAUCGAGUCUUGAAUGUCUACUACUUUUUCCUUGAAGCAGCAGACAUAAACAAGGAUGUCCUCCCCAAGUCGUUGUGUUUCCCUCAUAAGAUGAAGAGUGGUUAGCCUUUCUUCGACGUAAAAGAACUUGAUAUAGAACUUUUCCACCAAGUCUUCCCACGAAGAGAUAAAGCCAACGACGAGGUUGGCGUACCAUGAGAACACCCAAUCUGUGAAGGACUUGGAAAACUCUCUCAUGCGAACGUUUCGGUCUUCUCGGUAGACACCAAGGGCAUCGAGAAAGCGCAAAACGUGCUCCCCAGCAUUCCCUUUUCGUCCGUCAAAAUGGACAAACUUUGGUCUAGUGUAUCCUGCCAGAUAUGGAAGACUUGCGAUAUGAAUAGGGUAAGGGAGACAAAGAUCCAGUUUUGGAAAGGUAGGAAUGUGACCUUUGUUUGUCUGAAGUAGGUUGUGUAUGUGUUCCUUCACUUCGUCCAAUGUAGGGGUUAGACUAAAAGGACCUGGUCUGAUAGAAGAGCCGGAGAGCAAGUUGAAACCAUUAUGGCGGGAGUUCUGCCGACCAAACCGACUUGUGGCGAGGGCGCUUGGCUUCAAGCCAAUGGGGGGUGCGGAACAGCUGUCUACCUUCCUUCUUGGUUUUGCAAGUUGUUUCGAAGGGCGGGGUUAGCCUUCGAGUUAUUCUGAGCUGAUGGCAGAACUCCAUUCUGAGUUGGAGCCCUUUUCAAGCUUAAUAGGGCAUCUAUCAAGAGUUGUUGGUUCUGUUGGAGAGAGGUGACACUCUCAACCAAUGCACGAAGUUAUUACACUAUGGCUAGUUGAGAGGAUUGUUCCUUUGAAAAGCCGUCGGAGUUGUGUUUUGAGGUCUCCACCAGAGCCUCCCUACCGCUACCUUAGGAUGUCACUGUGCCGGUUCCGGUGUUCUUUUUGGGUGCCAUGUGAAGUAGGCACCACUCUUCCCCAGUGGAGUAUAAUGUGGGUGAUAGAGAUUAGAGGCGAUCGAUCGUUGACCUCUGGGCAGAUUGUAGGCACUUUAAUGGCUUGAGAUCACUGGAAAUGGAAGAGGAGAAGACCAAGGCAAGCUUAGAGAGAAAAUGGGUGACAGUGAAAGACCUUGAACAUUUAAUAUAUGUUAUGUGAUUCUUGUUACUCUUGUUGUGUCUUUGUGGCCGCACUUAUGAUGCCGUUAUAUAGACUCUAGGAGAAUUGGAACCCAAGCAACCUCAAGACAGGUGGCAAGUUCUCCUCAACUCAACAGGAGGGUGAUAUCAACCCUACUAGCUCUGUCCUAUGAUUCAGGUCCUUGGAAAGGUUGCAUCAUAGGAACUGCAGGUGCAGGCAUGAUAUCUUGAGAGGCGUAUCAUAUGUGCAUCAGAUGUAAGUGUAAGGUCAACGUCUCUUCUUUUAAGCCAGGUCAAAGAGGGAGCUAUCACUGCAGGAAGAUAACUAUGCGACCUUGACGAUCCCAAGGUCUUAACCUCCAAUCCACAAUCCUCCAAUAAUCCCAAGCGAAAGUGCCUAGGUCCUGCUCCCAACCUAGGCAGCCAAGAGGGUGAGUGCAUGGGUGAGCCAAGGGCUCAUCCUAAGCAGUUUAAGUAAACAUAAGAGAGCCAAACAUAGGUGAGCCAAGAGUCCAACUAUGUUACGAUGAGCUGGGUUAAGUGGGUAGAAAAUAUAUUUCUUAAGUUAGGCCAUGGACAGCUCUAGUUGAGCCAGCUCUAUCAAGGUGAGUUAUGGUCCUGUUUUUCAUACUUUGUGGUGCGUAUGCCCCCGUUUAGGCUAGGCAUACAAUCCCAACUCAUCAUGGUGCCUCAGAGGUCUACCACGUAGAUGUGUAGUGGUGUUGACGUAACGCCCGUAGGGCUCGCCACAUGCCAAGCAUAAUAUAGUUACCCACAGACCCUAAGGGACACCCCAAGUUUGUAAAAGGAGCUAUGGACAAAGUAGGCUUUGGCUCAAACCACCAUACGCACGCAGCCGCCAUCGACCGACUGAGUCGAGCUGUACCGAGCGUCAAUGUAGGUCGAGUUGAUCCUAAUAUCAAUUUUUUAGACAAAAUUUAUUUAAAUUUAUUCCAAAAAAUUCUCGUGAGAAAAUUAUUUUUCAAAACGAAAUUAACUAAAAUUUUGAGCCAAAUUUGAAUUCAAUUUUUUGUCUAAAAAGUGCCUGCACCAAUCCGAAAUUCCUUUCUAUUUUCCAACAGAUUAAACUAUUCUAAACAUAUUUAAAACUGCCUAGCAAAUUCGAACAAAUUCAAACUGGUUUUCUAGCAGAUCUGUUCAAGUUUGAAUUGCACCUAUUCAAAUUGAAAUCUUACAUGUGGCAUUUCCUGAAGGUCACCAAUCUGCUUAUAAAUACUAUAAUUUUUCCAGCAGUUAGUUCAUUCCGAAAUUCACUUGUUACUUUCUAUUUUUGCUCUCUUGCAUAGAUAUUUUCUUCAUAUUAGUUUUAGACACAAAAUUUGAGAGUAUAGAACACAGGUUCUAGUUCACCAUACAGAUUGUUUUAGAGUGCUACUACAAUCUGUGUAAAGAUCAUUAUAUCCUAAGAGAUACACGUCAUUUAUCCGUAAGCACCGAAGCGGGGCAAAUUUGUCUUAAGGACAGAGUGUCACACACUUGAUUUGAUCAUUUUUGUACUUAUUCACUUCGGUAAAUAAAUUUUGUAAGUAAUUUAUUUGAUUUGGUUUCAAGUUAUUUAUUUUACACAAAAGAUUGUUCCAACAAAACAUUCAUUCCAUAACUACAAAAUACUUCAAAAAUGGUAACGGUUAUGUAAUUUCUUAUAUUAUGGAGUUGAUCUCUCUAUAUAAACACAACCACCAUCUCACAGGGAACCGCAACCAACUAGCAAAGCAUCUCAUGGGUACCCCAAUGUUGAUCCUCUUUAUUAUUCAUAUGAUUAUGUCAUUCUCAUUGCUAUCGUUUUCAACACCACCAUAUAGCUUAACUGAAGGCUCAUCUCUCUUCAUGGAGAAGCCAGACGAUGUUUUGAUUUCACCAACCAGUGUAUUCUUGGCAGGAUUUCACUCCGUCGAGGAUAAUGCUUAUUGCUUUGCUAUUUGGUCUAGUGAACCACUGUAUAAUGGGAGUCACACUAUAGUCUGGAUGGCCAACUAAGAACAACCCAUUAAUGGAAAACUCUCACAACUCUCCUUUCAAAAAAAUGGCAAUCUCAUAUUGACAGAUGCUAGCCAAUUCAAUGUUUGGGCCACUGGCACUAAGUCAAUCUCUUUAACACAAUUAUUAUUGUACGACAAUGGUAAACUUAUUCUUCUUACUUCGAAAAGUUUAAUUCUUUAGCAAAGCUUUGAUUCACCAACUAAUACCCUUCUUCCCAACCAACCACUCACCAGAAACAAAAAGCUUAUGUCAUCUCAAAGCCAAAAUAAUUAUUCUUCUGGUUUCUAUAAGCUCCUUUUCGACAAUGAUAACAUCCUCUAUCUUGUCUUUGAUGACCUUGAAGUAACUAGCGUUUAUUGGCCAGACCCAUGGAAAAACAGUUGGGACGCUUUGAGGAAGAGUUUCACCAAUAACAGAACUGCAAUGUUCAAUUCCUCAGGCCAUUUCAAGUCAAAUGACGGCUUUCAGUUCAGGGCAGCAGAUUUUGGCACUGGGAUUCAAAGAAGAUUAACCAUGGAUCAUGAUGGCAACAUUUGACUAUACAGUCUGGAAGAGAGAAGCAAAACCUAGACUACGUCGUGGCAAGCUCUUCUUGAACCAUGCAAGAUCCAUGGUAUCUGCGGACCCAACAGUCUAUGUACUUAUGUUCCCCAUGAGAAAUUUGGUAAGAGUUGCUCUUGAUUACUAGGGUACAAGAUCAAAAAUGAUAGUGAUUGGUCUCUUGGAUGUGAACCAAAUUUCAAUCCCCCUUACAAUGAUUGUGAUCAAGUUGGUUUCCUACAACUUCCUCACGUUGAAUUCUAUAGCCUAGGAAGCAUAGAUACGGAUACGACAUGAUACGAAUACGGCGAUACGACAAAAUCUAAAAAAAAUAGGAUACCAGUACGGGUAGGAUACGUUUGUGAAAGAUAUAUUUUUUAAAAUUAUUAAUAGUGAGUUACACAUGAGCUAAAGAACGUUGAGAAACCACAAUGUAAUUUUAUAAUCAAAAUACUAACUUUUAAGAAUUUUGUAUUAAUUUAAGCUAGUAGCUUGUUUACUUUUUAAAUUUUUAAUAGGUCUUGCAAAUAUUUCAUUUCAAUAUCAAGUUUAAUAUAUUUAUAUUACGAUAAUAGAACAAUUCACAACCUGUCCUUAUGCUUUUUCUUUUGACACUAGAGAAAAAUAUUGUA